CGAUUCAUUCCUGGUUUAGUCUGGCAAAUAUGUUUAGGACUGUACAGUUCAUGGAAUUUGUUUUCACCUUGUAUUUCUUUUUCUUCUACCCUACAGGGCUGAAAACUGGAUGAUGAAGGGAAAAUGACUUGAAGGCAAGCCAAGGAGGAGCAGAGGAACAAGGAAAGCACAGUGGAGGAGGAGAGACCCACUAGCACAGGGAACACUAAGGAGAAGGUUCCAAAUCCAUGCUGCAAUGUGACCCAAAGCUUGGUGAGAGGAACAGCUGGAAGAUUUUUUCAAAUGUGGAUUCCUGCCUUGGAUUAUAAUCCCAGUGUGCAUGUUCAACAUUGGCUGUACCAUCUCCUCUCAGGGAGUACUACAACAUGUGCUUUACAGUUGAGCAAAUUCCUGAGUGCUUUUUAGGGCUGGGCCUGCAGGGCUUUUAAAUCUUAGCUGGGAUUCUUACGAACUCUUCCCUCUCUGCAAUCACUUUGUUCCCACUGGGGCCAUGACAAGAAGACGAUGCGAGAUGAGCAGUAUUGAUGGGGAGACUUUGUUCUCCACCUUUCCAAGUGAGCAGCUCCACACAGGAGCAUGCUGAAUUCAAAAAAAGUCAUUGAAGGGUGUCUGUAGACUUUUUUUUUUUAAUUAUUAUUUUUAUUAUCUUGGGAAGAGCAAGCCUCUGUGUGAGAUUACAUUUGCUGAUCUUUCUGUAGGAUACUUUAGUAAUAUUUCAAAAUAAACAAAAGAAAGACUGAAGGGACAGAAGCAGAACUCCCCAGGCAGCCCACUGUUUUGCCCUUUUGCAUCUACUUAGGCUAAAUUUUUACCACCCUAGGCACUGAGGUUCCAGAGGAACGUGCCUCCAUUGCAGCAGAGACUGGAGGUGGUUUGGCUUCCCUUGGGGCGCAAGGACAUCCCACCAGCUGUGCAUAAUGCCGGUCUUGUUUGCCUGAAAACAACAGAGGAACAAAUCCUUUUAUGACAUCAGCAAAAUUCAAUCACUGUCUGGGGAAAGGAAUUUCAGCACAACAUUACAUCUUUAUUUAACUCACAAGAUAACAUAAUGAAAUAGUGAGAAUGCAUGGGAGCCGCAAGCCCAGCUGAACCACCACGCACUGUGAAGUGAGCAGCUGCGAUACAGUCUUAUGAACCGUCUUCUCAGAAGCAGGACCCACCAUAGUCGGUGAACAGCACCUGUGCCAGCAAAGUUGUGACAACAGAUAACAUUAUAUGAAUGCCUGGAUAAAUGCCACCUGCGCUGGAAAAACAAAUCCAAUGUUAGAAAUCAUUACAGAAGAAUUGCAGAAGGUAUUGGAGAACAUCAUUACGGCUGUGGGUGGCGGUUAUGGUUAGCCUAUACCCUGGACAUGCUGUUCAGCUCCUGACUGCUGAUCCUAGGAGGGACCGUUGGGAGACACUUCAACAAUGCCAGUGGGGAUGGUCAGGGUCUGUCAUGGUUUUUGUGCAAGGAAACCAUGGAUGAGCAGGCUGGGACUGUUUGGCCUGGAAAUAUGGUAAUGGAGAAAGUUGGCAUGCGUGCAAGGGAGAACUGGAGAAGAGAGGGUUACACAGAGGGUUACUGAACACACAAUAUGAAUCAUGCCUAUGAUAUCCCAGCUGAAAACAGCUAGAGGCUGGGGCAGUGCUCAGGGAAAUUUCACCCAGCCUGUCAGAGCCCCUUGACGAGUACUCAUGUAUCUUCUCCCCAUCCCAUGCAGCAGUGCAUGAAACAAAGCCUGGUUUCCCACCAGCUUGAGCAUCACUAAGGCAAUAAACUCAGCAAUAACCUCCUCUGCUGACAAGAGCCUGAACCUGCACUCCACGUGUGCUGCUGGCCAUUGGGAACCCUUAUGCCUAUGGACCCACCAGCAAUCACAAUAACUGCGAAGGUCGUCCUGGCAAUUUCCCCUCAGAGGGUGCACUCAGUUUGCAUCUCUCCAUCCAUCCAGCGACUUUCAUACAACUUGGAGAAAUUUAAUUAUCUUCUGGAGCUCAAAUCAUGUCUGAUGAUCUUUAAAUUGGACAGCAGUUUCAGUACUAGUCAUGAGAAGGUAGACAGGCAUAUGAAUGGUGCUGUACAGUGUGCAAACCCUGUCUCAUUAGGAAAGUGGGGCUAGAGACCACCAAAUCUUGGUUAAAUAGGCACAUUAUUAUUUCCGGUUUCCUGUCCACUCUCCUCAUUGCUGUUAUGGCCCGCUUUGUUUUCUUGAGAUGCUGAAAAACCAAGCUAUAAUCAGAAAUUAUGAAACAUUUUACCCACGGUAAACGCCACUCCUGUAUUUUUUGGAUAUGUUACAAACUAGCUUAGCAUGACAAUAACCUUCUUGGUGAUGCAGGGACCAUUCCAAAACACUGAAUGAGGAGGGUUAUACACAGUCCAGCACAAAAAUACCCAGAACAUCAUUAUUUGUGUAUGGCUACAUGUUUAAAAUAAAAUUAUUAAUGGGAAAAAAAGAAGUACAUUUUCAGUGGGGUAUUCUCAGAAGGAAGGCCCAUGUCCCACCUGCGUGUGUGGCAUUAGGGUACCAUUCCUAGAGAUGGUGUGACUGCCUCUCCACCUGGCAAUCCCGUUCAGGCAGCUUCUGCCUCCUCCAGCUGGCUCAGGAGCUCAGCAGGAGUGAGACCAGCUCCCUGCUUUCCUCCUCAGCAUCUGCAGUGGGGGAGAUCCUGCCCUGAUGGGAUUUGUUCGGUUUCCCCCAUACAAAAAUCCAUGUGAGCUGCCUGAAGUGACAGCACAAAAUGUGCACAGCAGGGAUCUGUUCUCCCCUGGAUUUAAUUCUGAAUUUCCCCUGGCCUUACAACUGGCAAGCUAUUUUCCCAGUGUGGACUUCCUGACAAAUGCAAGUGACUUUUCAUAGGGAAGUAGUUGCUGCUGCUCCUGACAUGAAGGCUAUGUCUGUCAAACACUGAAUCUCUCCUCCAAAGCACUGGGGGUGAAUCCCUCAAGGAAGAAGUAGGAGCCUUUAAAAAAAAAAAUUGUUUCACCUUUUUAUCUAAAGCAAUUACAUAAAUCUGGCCAAAGCUUUCUGCAAGGCAACUUUCUGAAGAUGAAGGCUAGCCAUGCAAAACUUACCCAGGUUCAAAAACACUGGGGAGAACCACAAAUAGCUGGAAUAUCUAGUCCCAUAAUGGGAAGCAUUAUGUUACAUUGCCAGUGGGUAGUACUACCAGGAACACAGGCGUCAUAAUUACACAAAAUAGAUACCUGUGCUUCUGCCAAGAGGGACCAGCUGAUACCAAGUCCUGCCCUAGGAGGUGUGUGGAGCAUCUGCUACAGGCAAGGCUGGGAAGAAAUUUAGAGGCAUGGGUUGGAAGUGACACUGAUUCAAGGAGAUAUGAGAGACUCCCCCAUGUCCAUCCUUGCACCUAGCCAGAAAGGGAAAUGGCACUCCCCAGCCUCUGACUGCAGACAGAUGGAUAACUGUAGCUAUUAGCAACUGGAACCUGGUUUUAUUUUUAAUGCAGUCUGAUGGGAGCUCUCACAAGGGAAGUGACAGGCUCCCCCUGACUGCAAGACCUUUCCCAGGAAGCAGAAUUUACCCUUGCCACCCUUACUGAAGUACCGUCAGAAAUUAUUGCAUUACAAUUGCUAAGCAUUUAAUGUGCCUCAGCUGUGUCCCUGAUUGCAUCAAUUAACCACAAAUCAACUGAGGAGCCAAUUUAGGUUUGAAAUAGAGAGACUUAAUGAGAUGUCAGGUUUGUUUUUUUUUUUUUUUUUAAAGUGCCACACCUGGAAGUUGGAGGUUAAUGCAGAAGUUUAUCAUUAUUGUUUUGGUCUUUGUCUUACAAACAAACCCCUUCACAAGGAUGUUAGUUGCUGUCCAUGCAGUUAGAGGCCCUGCUACAAAGAGUUUAACCUUGAUAUGUGGCACUGGGAAAGUUCUUAUUCUACAGAAAUUAAUGCCUAUACCCACUUACAGCAAACAGCACGCUGGGACAUAAAAACACUGAGGAUGACAAACUUCUCCAAUAUUACAGUAAUAGGAAUAAAACAGUAUAUCAUAAAAUGCCUUUGGGCUGGUUAAACCACAAGCAAAUUCAGCAGCAGCUUGUCCCGUCACUGGUGGUGGCAGGGCCUAGCUCUUUUCUCAGGCACGGCUCACUUGGAUGAGUCCUAUACCUAAAUGGUAAGGAUGUAAGUAAUACCACAGCUGGUGUCAGUUUAAUAAGGUUUUUCUGUUUCUGACAAAUACCACUGAUCAUGAGAUGCAAACAAUGGUGCUGAUGGAAGGAGUUUAUCCCCCAUCUCACCUGCUGAAUGCCUUUGGAAGGCUUCAUUACCAUGCAAAUGGAGAUUGCACACAGCCUAAUAAAAAUACAUCUGUCAGACUGCAUACAUUUAUAACAUCAAAUGUUAGCAUAACUAGGAUUUAUGGAGCAAAUGAAUUUCAUCUGGGGCUGGUUAGACUUGGCCUGCCACUGGAAACAAUAAGGGUUAAUUAUGCCUCAGUAAUCCGGACAUCUUUCUGAUGAACAAUUCAUCUCUUAUUGGACCCAAAAAGUUGCUAUGAUACUAGGAAACUUUUGACCUUGAAAUGGUGGAGGAGGAUUUUGACAAAUAAAUUGCAAAACUGACAAAUGAGAAGGUAACCUACAUAGGUAUGAAACAGCAAUGAAUGCAGUCAAGUGAAGGGGGGAAAUGAUCAUCUCACUCAGCCAUAAUUUUGCAAGGGAUCAUGUCAUCUGACUUAUUUUGGAGCAAGCAUCCAAGGAGACAUGUCUGUGAUGAUGCAUGCAUUGCAAUUAAAGACCUAAGGGGUGUUACUGCUGUGUCCUGCCAUAGGAAAGCAGCAGAAGACCCAGGAAUGCUCCUGCCUGGGGCAUUGGGCCCCAGGACCCCAGGCUAUAGAGUGUGAUGAUACAGGUGCCAAGCUGGAAGCCCAGGAGCAAGCAGCUGUGUAGCUUGGGCUGCACAAUGCACUUUCUGCCUGGGAAAGUCAGGGGACAUCAGGGUCCAGAGGAAGCAACUGCACUAAACAUAUGAUGUUGUGCAUUUCUCCCUCUGUUUGGUGAGGCGACCUCCAGGCACAACUAGCCAUGCCUUGAGCAGAGUCCCUCAAGAAAGAAGUCAUCCUGCUUUGCCAGAUCCACCUAAUUCAGAAGGUGGUCCAGCUUAAAAUGGGUUGUCCUCUUUAUAGCUGUGGUGGUACAUCAGCACCUCCCUAGGGUGAUUUACUCCAUGCUGGGAGACACAGCCAGUGAAAGUGGAGCAAAGGGAAUCUGGGUGAGACAACUCUAGCCAGGCAUGAUACAAUCAGACAGAGGAUGUUACACAGGACCAGUUCCUUCCUGAAUGAUAAACCUUCCUCAGGUAGUAGAGGACAAACAGCCUCCUUGAGCAACACCAGUAGGAAAGAGUGAAGGCACAUGCUCAAGGUACAUGAGGCCCCCGUCCUAGGAGCCAAUGGGUAAGGAAGUAACAUACAGUUUUGUUCACAAAUGCCUGUCACAGAACAUACACCUGCUUUUGGUGUCACUUAAAAGUAGAUGGACAAAUCUCCCAUACGUCCUGAACCGGAAUAGAGCUACCCUGCUUUCUGAAAUAGUCCUAAACCAGCAAGAGAACAGCUGUAGACUCAGUGUCUCAUCUACAUCAAUCAGCUUCUGUUGAAUGUAUCUUAGAUUGGUGAUUACAGGCAAAUAAUUUAUUGAUAUAUUAAAAUUGACAUAUGCACAGUGCAAGGCAUUUGCCAACACUCAUAUAUUGUAUUUACUGAGGCAAUACUGGCAAGAAGUCAGGGAAAAUGAGUUUGGGCCUGAUUAACUUUGCAAAGGCCCUCAAGGAAGAAAGAUGAAAGCAAAUUUUAAAUUUAUACUAGAAAUUGCAGACAGAGCCUGUGCAUUUAACCUGAGCACCAGGAUGUAUGCUUCUCGGAAACAUAUAAAUGUGCUCCUGGAUUUUAUAUCUAGACGUGUCUUGAAACACAGCUUGAUUAUCAUGCUUUUCAGAGUAAGUGUUUGUAAGCGGUUAGCUUAGAAUGUCUCUGCCUUGUAUUGCAAGGAUUUUUUAGAUUGCUGCACUAAUAAUUUUCAUGACUUUUACCUUCCUCACAAAAGAAAAGCUAAGAACAUGUGGUGGUCCAGUGACCAAAAAUUAUGUCUGCAUCGACUAACAUUGAAACGAAGCCUGCAGAGCUCACAGGGAAACACGUAGUCAAGGCAGUGGUACUUGUUUGAAGAAUUAGUUGGUAUUUUUAAAUGGAAAAUGGCUUUGACUUAAUUAGGAUUUCUUAUGUGUGUUUUUGGAUUUUUUUUAUGUCAAGGAAAGAGUGUGUACCAAAAACCAAACAAUGCAUUUUCAUGUUUUUGGUUUUUUUUUCCCAAGUACUCCUUCUUCCCUCCUUCCUGGUCUGCUUAAUAUGUAGUGAAAAACUGUGGAGGUUUCCAUCUAAAUAUUUCCUUGAAAAGUAUAGUUCUCCCAUCAGGUCUUUUUGUUGUCUUCUAUGUUUGUAAACAGCAGUCAAGUAUUUCUGUGUGAGUUGUGUCACAUAUAUUAAAAGUGAGGAAAAAGGACAGCCAGUGUAAAUUUUGCAUGAGGCAGACACUUUAUGAUACCUCCCCGUAUAUGUGGCAUAUUCCCAAACAGGCAGCUGGGUCUGCAGGCAGCAAACCCCAAAUCCAGGUGCAUGGACAAAGGGAGCAUCACAGUUACACAGCUUGGUCCACUGCCUCGUCUUCAGAGGUGUCUGUGAUUAUUGCCCUCUGUUUCUGAUGUCAGGUUCACUUGGUACUGUGGUGACUCCUCUUGUUGCAACAAGACAAGCAGAUCAGGAGGAAUAUUUCAAUUACUGGUAAGUAGCAUGUGCUCGUAGUAUCGGUACAGGGUCAGUUUUCAGUUGAACUUUCAUAUUGCUGAAAUGUGUCUGUUCCUACAGGUCUUGUGAGAGCUUUUUUCUCUAAUCUUCCUCUGCUGUUUUCUCUUCAUGGUACGUAGGUUGGGAAGAGCUUUGAAAGCACAGGUGUGUCUCUGUAUCCCAUGCCUGCAGAUCUACACACAGAUAAAUACAGGCUCUCUUUGGCUUUGUAUUCUUCUGGCAUUUCCCCAGGAUGUUAAUAAAUUAGAGACUCAUAGUCUUUUCUUUUCAGCUGCUGGUUGGUCCUCUUUAUACAGUGUUAACACAUAUGCUGUAGAAAUCACUUUAUAGUUAAUUAUCUUCCAGGCAAAUUAUCUGCUAAAGGAUUUAGUUUUUUACAGAUUUUUUGGGGUAGAUGUCCUGAGCUCUUGUAGCAUAUUUUAGUAAGGGUUUAUAUAGCUUUGUUAGCAGCCCAGUCUUUUUGGUAUUAAAAGUCUUCACAUAUACUAUUCAAUCCAAGCAAUUUGUUAUUGGCUGAUGUAUUCAUUUUUCACAACAUCCUUUCUUUCAGCAAUACAGUACAGCUGCAUCCUUCCAAAAUGAAUAGGGGAAAGGUAAUAUCUACAGCAAUAUAAAAAUGAAAUAUUUAACUCCACAGCAAUGCCCUUUCCUCC